GACGUAGGGCGCGAGCGUUGUCCGGAUUUAUUGGGCGUAAAGAGCUCGUAGGCGGCUUGUCGCGUCGUCCGUGAAAACCUGCAGCUCAACUGCAGGCUUGCGGUCGAUACGGGCAGGCUCGAGUUCGGUAGGGGAGACUGGAAUUCCUGGUGUAGCGGUGAAAUGCGCAGAUAUCAGGAGGAACACCGGUGGCGAAGGCGGCAUCCUGGACCAAUAUUGACGCUGAGGAGCGAAAGCCAGGGGAGCAAACGGG
rnacentral:rRNA from 1 species